AUUGAACGCUGGCGGCAUGCCUUACACAUGCAAGUCGAACGGCAGCACGGGAGCAAUCCUGGUGGCGAGUGGCGAACGGGUGAGUAAAGUAUCGGAACGUGCCCAGUCGUGGGGGAUAACGUAGCGAAAGUUACGCUAAUACCGCAUACGAUCUAUGGAUGAAAGCGGGGGAUCGCAGGACCUCGCGCGAUUGGAGCGGCCGAUAUCAGAUUAGGUAGUUGGUGGGGUAAAGGCUCACCAAGCCGACGGUCUGUAGCUGGUCUGAGAGGACGACCAGCCACACUGGGACUGAGACACGGCCCAGACUUCUACGGGAGGCAGCAGUGGGGAAUUUUGGACAAUGGGCGCAAGCCUGAUCCAGCCAUGCCGCGUGCAGGAUGAAGGCCUUCGGGUUGUAAACCGCUUUUGUACGGAACGAAAAGGUUUGGCUCAAUACGUUGAACUCAUGACGGUACCGUAAGAAUAAGCACCGGCUAACUACGUGCCAGCCGCCGCAGUAA
rnacentral:rRNA from 1 species